CGCGGCCUAUCAGCUUGUUGGUGGGGUAACGGCCUACCAAGGCGAUUACGGGUAGCCGGCCUGAGAGGGCGACCGGCCACACUGGGACUGAGACACGGCCCAGACUCCUGCGGGAGGCAGCAGUGGGGAAUAUUGCGCAAUGGGCGAAAGCCUGACGCAGCGACGCCGCGUGGGGGAUGACGGCCUUCGGGUUGUAAACCUCUUUUACCACCAACGCAGGCUCCGGGUUUUCUCGGGGUUGACGGUAGGUGGGGAAUAAGGACCGGCUAACUACGUGCCAGCAGCCGCGGUAAUACGUAGGGUCCGAGCGUUGUCCGGAAUUAUUGGGCGUAAAGAGCUCGUAGGCGGCGUGUCGCGUCUGCUGUGAAAGACCGGGGCUUAACUCCGGUUCUGCAGUGGAUACGGGCAUGCUAGAGGUAGGUAGGGGAGACUGGAAUUCCUGGUGUAGCGGUGAAAUGCGCAGAUAUCAGGAGGAACACCGGUGGCGAAGGCGGGUCUCUGGGCCUUACCUGACGCUGAGGAGCGAAAGCAUAGGGAACGAACAGGAUUAGAUACCCUGGUAGUCCAUGCCGUAAACGUUGGGUGCUAGGUGUGGGGACUUUCCACGGUUUCCGCGCCGUAGCUAACGCAUUAAGCGCCCCGCCUGGGGAGUACGG
rnacentral:rRNA from 1 species